rnacentral:tRNA from 1 species
GCCCGUCUAGCUUAGUCGGUAGAGCGCAAGGCUCUUAACCUUGUGGUCCUGGGUUCAAGUCCCAGGGUGGGCG